CAGUCCAGAGACUGCCCUGUGCCUACAAAACAAAGACUCUACGUGCGAGCUGCCGGCCCUUAGGGACUCAUGUGACCAGAGAAUCAUGAGAGUGAAGGAGGGACACUAUCCCUCCCAGGGGUGCAAGCAGCCCUGGGGGCCCGGCGACAGGUGACCCCUGUGAAAGGGUUGUUCAAUACCUAACAGGGUCAGGACCCACAGGUUGAGAACUGCUCUACCGGGUGGGGUUGGAGGAUCUUUCUCAGGGUGUUAAAACAAACUUGGACAUAAAGGAUGGCCAGGACAUUCCUUCAGGGAGAAGUUCCUCCCGUCUUCCUGACUCAACUGCCAGAUUUUUUCAGGGGAGGCCAUACCAGCAGGCCCAUCUUGCUGCUUAGGGAGAGUGAGCAAGCACUUAGCCGUUCAAGCCAGAAGCUGCAAGCCUCUGUAGCAGGUCACAGCAGGCUGAGUGGGCAGAAAGGCAGGCGGGUGGGAGCUGCCACCUCC